GGCGAAGGCGAAGGCCAGGGUCGCGGCGAUGACGCCGACUUCGGCAGCCAGAGAGACAUUGAGGCAGGCUUCACAGGAGAACAACGUACCGCUGCCUGCGACGGCGGACGACGCGCUGAGGCU
rnacentral:SRP_RNA from 1 species